rnacentral:rRNA from 1 species
UACGUAGGGUGCAAGCGUUAAUCGGAAUUACUGGGCGUAAAGCGUGCGCAGGCGGUUGUGCAAGACAGAUGGGAAAUCCCCGGGCUUAACCUGGGAACUGCAUUUGUGACUGCACAGCUGGAGUGCGGCAGAGGGGGAUGGAAUUCCGCGUGUAGCAGUGAAAUGCGUAGAUAUCGGGAGGAAUACCGAUGGCGAAGGCAGGUCUCUGGGCUAUAACUGACGCUCAUGCACGAAAGCGUGGGGAGCAAACAGG